rnacentral:rRNA from 1 species
GAUGAACGCUGGCGGCGUGCCUAAUACAUGCAAGUCGAGCGAACAGACGAGGAGCUUGCUCCUCUGACGUUAGCGGCGGACGGGUGAGUAACACGUGGAUAACCUACCUAUAAGACUGGGAUAACUUCGGGAAACCGGAGCUAAUACCGGAUAAUAUAUUGAACCGCAUGGUUCAAUAGUGAAAGACGGUUUUGCUGUCACUUAUAGAUGGAUCCGCGCCGCAUUAGCUAGUUGGUAAGGUAACGGCUUACCAAGGCAACGAUGCGUAGCCGACCUGAGAGGGUGAUCGGCCACACUGGAACUGAGACACGGUCCAGACUCCUACGGGAGGCAGCAGUAGGGAAUCUUCCGCAAUGGGCGAAAGCCUGACGGAGCAACGCCGCGUGAGUGAUGAGGGUCUGCGGAUCGUAAAACUCUGUUAUUAGGGAAGAACAAAUGUGUAAGUAACUAUGCACGUCUGGACGGUACCUAAUCAGAAAGCCACGGCUAACUACGU